GAUGAACGCUGGCGGCGUGCUUAACACAUGCAAGUCGAACGGAAAGGCCUCUGCUUGCAGGGGUACUCGAGUGGCGAACGGGUGAGUAACACGUGGGUGAUCUGCCCUGCACUUCGGGAUAAGCCUGGGAAACUGGGUCUAAUACCGGAUAGGACAAUGGUUUGGAUGCUGUUGUGGAAAGUUUUUCGGUGUGGGAUGAGCUCGCGGCCUAUCAGCUUGUUGGUGGGGUAAUGGCCUACCAAGGCGUCGACGGGUAGCCGGCCUGAGAGGGUGUACGGCCACAUGGGGACUGAGAGACGGCCCAGACUCCUACGGGAGGCAGCAGGGGGGAAUAUUGCACAAUGGGCGCAAGCCUGAUGCAGCGACGCCGCGUGGGGGAUGACGGCCUUCGGGUUGUAAACUCCUUUCGCUAGGGACGAAGCGUUUUUGUGACGGUACCUGGAGAAGAAGCACCGGCUAACUACGUG
rnacentral:rRNA from 1 species